UCCUACGGGAGGCAGCAGUGAGGAAUAUUGGUCAAUGGAGGCAACUCUGAACCAGCCACGUCGCGUGAAGGAUGACGGCCCUACGGGUUGUAAACUUCUUUUGUAAGGGAAUAAAGUUAGUUACGUGUAACUAUUUGCAUGUACCUUACGAAUAAGGAUCGGCUAACUCCGUGCCAGCAGCCGCGGUAAUACGGAGGAUCCAAGCGUUAUCCGGAUUUAUUGGGUUUAAAGGGUGCGUAGGCGGAAGAUUAAGUCGGUGGUGAAAUUUUACAGCUCAACUGUAACAGUGCCAUUGAUACUGGUUUUCUUGAGUAUGGAUGAAGUAGGCGGAAUUUGUGGUGUAGCGGUGAAAUGCAUAGAUAUCACGAGGAACUCCGAUUGCGCAGGCAGCUUACUAAACCAUAACUGACGCUCAGGCACGAAGGCGUGGGGAUCAAACAGGAUUAGAUACCCUGGUAGUCCACGCAGUAAACUAUGAUUACUCGCUGUUUGCGAUACACAGCAAGCGGCUUAGCGAAAGCGUUAAGUAAUCCACCUGGGGAGUACGUUCGCAAGAAUGAAACUCAAAGGAAUUGACGGGGGCCCGCACAAGCGGAGGAACAUGUGGUUUAAUUCGAUGAUACGCGAGGAACCUUACCCGGGCUUGAAAUGCAUCUGACCGGCACAGAGACGUGCCUUCCCUUCGGGGCAGAUGUGUAGGUGCUGCAUGGUUGUCGUCAGCUCGUGCCGUGAGGUGUCGGCUUAAGUGCCAUAACGAGCGCAACCCUCAUUGUUAGUUACCAUCAGGUUAAGCUGGGGACUCUAACGAGACUGCCAUCGUAAGAUGUGAGGAAGGUGGGGAUGACGUCAAAUCAGCACGGCCCUUACGUCCGGGGCGACACACGUGUUACAAUGGGUGGUACAAAGGGCAGCUACAUGGCGACAUGAUGCUAAUCUCCAAAACCACUCUCAGUUCGGAUCGAAGUCUGCAACUCGACUUCGUGAAGCUGGAUUCGCUAGUAAUCGCGCAUCAGCCACGGCGCGGUGAAUACGUUCCCGGGCCUUGUACACACCGCCCGUCAAGCCAUGGAAGCUGGGGGUACCUGAAGUCCGUAACCGUAAGGAGCGGCCUAGGGUAAAACUGGUGACUGGGGCUAAGUCGUAACAAGGUAGCCA
rnacentral:rRNA from 1 species